rnacentral:lncRNA from 1 species
UUGUUUGCUGUGUACGAGGUCGUUCAAGAGUCGCUGGGGUUUAGCCCCUCUGAACUUGUGUUCGGUCACACCGUUCGAGGGCCAUUAAAAAUACUGAGAGAGUCGUGGCUAUCUGAGAAAGCAUCGCACCAUAACCUGUCUGACUACGUUACUAAAAUUCGCUGUAGACUGAGUCGAGCCUGCGAAUUGGCAAAAGAUAAUCUUGGCAUGUCUCAGAAGCGAAUGAAACAACAUUACGACCGAAAAGCCGUGGUACGGGAGUUCAAGCCUGGUGAUCAGGUCAUGAUAUUGUUUCCUGGGCUCGGCCCCGCUCUGCAAGCUCGUUAUUCUGGUCCUUACCGUAUCGACAAACGGGUAAACGAUCUGAACUACGUGAUAGCCACUCCAGAUCGGAAGAAAAGGUUACGCUUGUGCCACGUCAAUAUGCUGAAACGCUACUGUGAGCGUGAAGGCAUUGAAGAGUCGCGCCUCUCCAGCGGUGUCACACAAUCUGGCGUGGCGCUGUCCACGGUAGUUAGUUCUGAAUUUGGCACGACUCUGCCAGCUUCCCGACACGGCGCUUUUCUUUCAGCACCGUCACACGUAGGACGUACUGCCUCAUUGCUGGAGGAGCGAGGAAUUCGUAGUCCUUCAGCUGAGGUGAUUGAGGGUAGGCUGAAGAAUUCAGUCGUUCUUAAGGAUCUGAAUUCCUUCUUUUCCCAUCUGACGUCCUCUGGUCGUUGUGAUCUAAUAGCGCUCGUUGAUAACUACAGGGACUUGUUUUCGGAUGUUCCCCGUCGCACUGAUGUCAUAGCUCAUGACAUCGAUGUUGGGGAUAGUAGGCCCGUCAAACAGCAUGCAUACCGUGCCAACCCGCUUAAACGGCAACAACUUCAACAGGAAGUGAAGUUCAUGUUAGACAAUGGUAUCGCCGAACCUAGCUUUAGUCAGUGGAGCUCGCCAUGCCUUCUGGUGCCAAAAUCUGAUGGCACUCUUCGGUUUUGCACAGACUUUCGUAAAGUCAACGCGGUUACCAAGCCGGAUAGUUUUCCCCUUCCACGUAUGGAUGACUGCGUGGACCGCCUUGGUUCGGCCGUGUUUGUUAGCAAGAUCGACUUACUGAAGGGUUACUGGCAAAUCCCCCUGACCGAUCGCGCAAAGGAGAUUUCGGCCUUCGUUACACCCGACAGCUUCCUACAGUACACGGUGAUGGCUUUUGGUUUUCGAAACGCCCCCUCGACUUUUCAGAGGAUGGUAAAUAACCUCCUUGUUGGUCUUUCGAACUGUGAGGCCUAUCUAGAUGAUCUGGUGGUGUAUAGCACUACCUGGUGCGAACAUGUAGCUCAUCUUAAGGCUGUCUUUGAGCGUUUGUCUGGGGCGAAUCUCACGAUUAAUUUGGCGAAGUGUGAGUUCGGGCAGGCCACAAUAGUCUACCUGGGCA